AUGAACGCUGGCGGCGUGCCUAAUACAUGCAAGUCGAGCGAACGGACGAGAAGCUUGCUUCUCUGAUGUUAGCGGCGGACGGGUGAGUAACACGUGGAUAACCUACCUAUAAGACUGGGGUAACUUCGGGAAACCGGAGCUAAUACCGGAUAAUAUUUUGAACCGCAUGGUUCAAAAGUGAAAGACGGUCUUGCUGUCACUUAUAGAUGGAUCCGCGCUGCAUUAGCUAGUUGGUAAGGUAACGGCUUACCAAGGCAACGAUGCAUAGCCGACCUGAGAGGGUGAUCGGCCACACUGGAACUGAGACACGGUCCAGACUCCUACGGGAGGCAGCAGUAGGGAAUCUUCCGCAAUGGGCGAAAGCCUGACGGAGCAACGCCGCGUGAGUGAUGAAGGUCUUCGGAUCGUAAAACUCUGUUAUUAGGGAAGAACAUAUGUGUAAGUAACUGUGCACAUCUUGACGGUACCUAAUCAGAAAGCCACGGCUAACUACGUG
rnacentral:rRNA from 1 species